rnacentral:rRNA from 1 species
UAAGCGGAGGAAAAGAAACUAACAAGGAUUCCCCUAGUAACUGCGAGUGAAGCGGGAUGAGCUCAAAUUUAAAAUCUGGCGGUUCUGCCGUCCGAGUUGUAAUCUGGAGAAGCGUUUUCCGCGUCGGACCGUGUACAAGUCUCUUGGAAUAGAGCGUCAUAGAGGGUGAGAAUCCCGUCCAUGACACGGACUCCCGAUGCUAUGUGAUACGCUCUCAAAGAGUCGAGUUGUUUGGGAAUGCAGCUCAAAAUGGGUGGUAAAUUCCAUCUAAAGCUAAAUAUUGGCGAGAGACCGAUAGCGAACAAGUACCGUGAGGGAAAGAUGAAAAGCACUUUGGAAAGAGAGUUAAACAGUACGUGAAAUUGUUGAAAGGGAAACGCUUGAAGUCAGUCGCGUCGUACGGAGCUCAGCCUUGCUUCUGCUUGGUGUAUUCUCUGCUCGACGGGUCAACAUCGAUUUCGGCCGGUGGAAAAGGGCUCGAGGAAUGUAGCGUUGUUUCGGCGACGUGUUAUAGCCUCGGGUCGUAUGCAUCGGCUGGGAUUGAGGACCGCAGCACGCCUUUUUGGCCGGGGUUCGCCCACGUUCGUGCUUAGGAUGUUGGCAAAAUGGCUUUAAGCGACCCGUCUUGAAACACGGACCAAGGAGUCUAACAUGCCUGCGAGUGUUCGGGUGGAAAACCCUUGCGCGUAAUGAAAGUGAAAGUUGGGAUCCCUCGCAAGGGGGUGCACCGACGCCCGGCCCAGACGUUCUCUGACGGUGCCGCGGUAGAGCAUGUAUGUUGGGACCCGAAAGAUGGUGAACUAUGCCUGAAUAGGGUGAAGCCAGAGGAAACUCUGGUGGAGGCUCGUAGCGAUUCUGACGUGCAAAUCGAUCGUCAAAUUUGGGUAUAGGGG